UACGGGGGGGGUAAGCGUUGUUCGGAAUUACUGGGCGUAAAGGGCUCGUAGGCGGCCAACUAAGUCAUACGUGAAAUCCCUCGGCUUAACCGGGGAACUGCGUCUGAUACCGGAUGGCUUGAGUUCGGGAGAGGGAUGCGGAAUUCCAGGUGUAGCGGUGAAAUUCGUAGAUAUUCGGAAGAACACCAGUGGCGAAGGCGGCUCACUGGCCCGUUACCGACGCUCAGGCGCGACAGCGUGGGGAGCAAACAGG
rnacentral:rRNA from 1 species